UACGUAGGGGGCUAGCGUUAUCCGGAUUUACUGGGCGUAAAGGGUGCGUAGGCGGUCUUUCAAGUCAGGAGUGAAGGGCUACGGCUCAACCGUAGUAAGCUCUUGGAACUGUAAGACUUGAGUGCAGGAGAGGAGAGUGGAAUUCCUAGUGUAGCGGUGAAAUGCGUAGAUAUUAGGAGGAACACCAGUAGCGAAGGCGGCUCUCUGGACUGUAACUGACGCUGAGGCACGAAAGCGUGGGGAGCAAACAGGAUUAGAUACCCGCGUAGU
rnacentral:rRNA from 1 species